rnacentral:pre_miRNA from 1 species
CUCCGUCCCAAAAUAAGUGCAGCCAUAAGUUUCCGCGCUCAACUUUAAUCGUCCGUCUUAUUUGAAAUUUUUUUAUAAUUAGCAUUUUUGUUGUUAUGAGAUGAUAAAAUAUGGAUAGUACUUUACUCGUGACUUAUGUUUUUAAUUUUUUUCAAAAAAAUUUCAAAUAAGACGAAUGAUCAAAGUUGGACGCAGAAAACCAUGGCUACACUUAUUUUGGGACGGAGGGA